UACAGAGGUCUCAAGCGUUGUUCGGAUUCAUUGGGCGUAAAGGGUGCGUAGGCGGCGCGGUAAGUCGGGUGUGAAAUCUCGGAGCUUAACUCCGAAACUGCAUUCGAUACUGCCGUGCUUUGAGGACUGGAGAGGAGACUGGAAUUUACAGUGAUAGCGGUGAAAUGACGUAGAUAUCGUAAGGAAGACCGAGUCGGCUGAAGGCGGUC
rnacentral:rRNA from 1 species